rnacentral:rRNA from 1 species
GAUGAACGCUGGCGGCGUGCCUAAUACAUGCAAGUCGAGCGAACAGAUGAGGAGCUUGCUCCUCUGACGUUAGCGGCGGACGGGUGAGUAACACGUGGAUAACCUACCUAUAAGACUGGGAUAACUUCGGGAAACCGGAGCUAAUACCGGAUAAUAUAUUGAACCGCAUGGUUCAAUAGUGAAAGACGGUUUUGCUGUCACUUAUAGAUGGAUCCGCGCCGCAUUAGCUAGUUGGUAAGGUAACGGCUUACCAAGGCAACGAUGCGUAGCCGACCUGAGAGGGUGAUCGGCCACACUGGAACUGAGACACGGUCCAGACUCCUACGGGAGGCAGCAGUAGGGAAUCUUCCGCAAUGGGCGAAAGCCUGACGGAGCAACGCCGCGUGAGUGAUGAAGGCCUUCGGAUCGUAAAACUCUGUUAUUAGGGAAGAACAAAUGUGUAGGUAACUAUGCACGUCUUGACGGUACCUAAUCAGAAAGCCACGGCUAACUACGUG